rnacentral:tRNA from 1 species
AGGGAUAUAGUUCAAAUGGUAGAACAGUAGAUUUAUGCGUGGGUUCGAAUCCCACUCUCGUUA